rnacentral:rRNA from 1 species
UUAAUGGAGAGUUUGAUCCUGGCUCAGGACGAACGCUGGCGGCGUGCCUAAUACAUGCAAGUCGAGCGGGGUUGUUUAGAAGCUUGCUUCUAACUAACCUAGCGGCGGACGGGUGAGUAACACGUAGGCAACCUGCCCACAAGACAGGGAUAACUACCGGAAACGGUAGCUAAUACCCGAUACAUCUUUUUCCUGCAUGGGAGAAGGAGGAAAGGCGGAGCGAUCUGUCACUUGUGGAUGGGCCUGCGGCGCAUUAGCUAGUUGGUGGGGUAAAGGCCUACCAAGGCGACGAUGCGUAGCCGACCUGAGAGGGUGAUCGGCCACACUGGGACUGAGACACGGCCCAGACUCCUACGGGAGGCAGCAGUAGGGAAUCUUCCGCAAUGGGCGAAAGCCUGACGGAGCAACGCCGCGUGAGUGAUGAAGGUUUUCGGAUCGUAAAGCUCUGUUGCCAGGGAAGAACGCUUGAGAGAGUAACUGCUCUUGAGGUGACGGUACCUGAGAAGAAAGCCCCGGCUAACUACGUGCCAGCAGCCGCGGUAAUACGUAGGGGGCAAGCGUUGUCCGGAAUUAUUGGGCGUAAAGCGCGCGCAGGCGGCUCUUUAAGUCUGGUGUUUAAUCCCGAGGCUCAACUUCGGGUCGCACUGGAAACUGGAGAGCUUGAGUGCAGAAGAGGAGAGUGGAAUUCCACGUGUAGCGGUGAAAUGCGUAGAGAAGUGGAGGAACACCAGUGGCGAAGGCGACUCUCUGGGCUGUAACUGACGCUGAGGCGCGAAAGCGUGGGGAG